UUUUUAUGCUCACUUCAACAAGACACAUUCUAAAGGUGAAAUGACGCAGAGAUAAGCAUGACCCCGAGCAAGGACGACUUGCAAAUUUGUGAAGUGUUCCAUAUUUUU
ensembl:snRNA U6 U6 spliceosomal RNA